rnacentral:rRNA from 1 species
UACGUAGGGUGCGAGCGUUAAUCGGAAUUACUGGGCGUAAAGCGGGCGUAGGCGGUUCGCUGUGUCCGAUGUGAAAGCCCCGGGCUUAACCUGGGAAUGGCAUUGGAAACUGGCGGGCUUGAGUGCGGCAGAGGGGGGUGGAAUUCCGCGUGUAGCAGUGAAAUGCGUAGAGAUGCGGAGGAACACCGAUGGCGAAGGCAGCCCCCUGGGUCGACACUGACGCUCAGGCACGAAAGCGUGGGGAGCAAACAGG